rnacentral:rRNA from 1 species
AGAGUUUGAUCCUGGCUCAGGAUGAACGCUGGCGGCGUGCUUAACACAUGCAAGUCGAACGAUCCUUCGGGAUAGUGGCGGACGGGUGAGUAACGCGUGGGAAUCUGCCCUCAGGAGGGGGAUAACGGCUGGAAACGGCCGCUAAUACCCCAUAUGCCGAGAGGUGAAACGAAUUUCGCCUAAGGAUGAGCCCGCGUCUGAUUAGCUAGUUGGUGGGGUAAAGGCCUACCAAGGCAACGAUCAGUAGCUGGUCUGAGAGGAUGAUCAGCCACACUGGGACUGAGACACGGCCCAGACUCCUACGGGAGGCAGCAGUGGGGAAUUUUCCGCAAUGGGCGAAAGCCUGACGGAGCAACGCCGCGUGAGGGAUGAAGGCCUCUGGGCUGUAAACCUCUUUUCUCAAGGAAGAAGACCUGACGGUACUUGAGGAAUAAGCCACGGCUAAUUCCGUGCCAGCAGCCGCGGUAAUACGGGAGUGGCAAGCGUUAUCCGGAAUUAUUGGGCGUAAAGCGUCCGCAGGCGGCCUUGUAAGUCUGUUGUUAAAGCGUGGAGCUCAACUCCAUUUAAGCAAUGGAAACUACAAGGCUGGAGUGUGGUAGGGGCAGAGGGAAUUCCCGGUGUAGCGGUGAAAUGCGUAGAUAUCGGGAAGAACACCAGUGGCGAAGGCGCUCUGCUGGGCCAUAACUGACGCUCAUGGACGAAAGCCAGGGGAGCGAAAGGGAUUAGAUACCCCUGUAGUCCUGGCCGUAAACGAUGAACACUAGGUGUCGGGGGAAUCGACCCCCUCGGUGUCGUAGCCAACGCGUUAAGUGUUCCGCCUGGGGAGUACGCACGCAAGUGUGAAACUCAAAGGAAUUGACGGGGGCCCGCACAAGCGGUGGAGUAUGUGGUUUAAUCCGAUGCAACGCGAAGAACCUUACCAGGGUUUGACAUCCUGCGAACCCCUGAGAAAUCGGGGGGUGCCUUCGGGAGCGCAGAGACAGGUGGUGCAUGGCUGUCGUCAGCUCGUGUCGUGAGAUGUUGGGUUAAGUCCCGCAACGAGCCAACCCACGUCUUUAGUUGCCAGCAUUCAGUUGGGCACUCUAGAGAGACCGCCGGUGAUAAGCCGGAGGAAGGUGUGGAUGACGUCAAGUCAUCAUGCCCCUUACAUCCUGGGCUACACACGUACUACAAUGCUACGGACAAAGGGCAGCAAGCUCGCGAGAGUUAGCAAAUCCCAUAAACCGUGGCUCAGUCAGAUCGUAGGCUGCAACUCGCCUACGUGAAGGAGGAAUCGCUAGUAAUCGCAGGUCAGCAUACUGCGGUGAAUACGUUCCCGGGCCUUGUACACACCGCCCGUCACACCAUGGAAGUUGGCCAUGCCCGAAGUCGUUACUCCAACCCUUGUGGAGGAGGACGCCGAAGGUGGGGCUGAUGACUGGGGUGAAGUCGUAACAAGGUA